GUAACGGCGAGUGAAGCGGCAACAGCUCAAAUUUGAAAUCUGGCCUCUUCGGGGUCCGAGUUGUAAUUUGUAGAGGGUGUUUCGGGCGCGAUGCCGGUCUAAGUUCCUUGGAACAGGACGUCGCAGAGGGUGAGAAUCCCGUACGCGACCGGCAAUCAAGCCUGUGUGAAGCCCCUUCGACGAGUCGAGUUGUUUGGGAAUGCAGCUCAAAAUGGGUGGUAAAUUUCAUCUAAAGCUAAAUAUUGGCCAGAGACCGAUAGCGGACAAGUAGAGUGAUCGAAAGAUGAAAAGCACUUUGGAAAGAGAGUCAAACAGUACGUGAAAUUGUUGAAAGGGAAGCGCUUGCAAUCAGACCGGUCCGGAGGCGAUCAGCCGCUGCUUGUUCAGCGGUGCACUCGCCUGCGAUCCGGCCAGCAUCGGUUUGGGCGGUGGGAUAAAAGUCCCGGGAAUGUAGCUUCUCUCGGGGAGUCUUAUAGCCCGGGUCGCAAUGCCGCCCGCCCGGACCGAGGACCGCGCUUCGGCUAGGA
rnacentral:rRNA from 1 species